CUGCAGUACCAUCAGCAACAAUAUCUGCAGGACCAUCAGCAUCGCAUCAAGAUUUCCUGCGAUAUCGCUCCCAGCACCCAGGUCCGAUAUCUCAAAGAGCUUUCUACCGGUGGUGUCAAUAUGGAGGAGAUGAUCCCUCCUUUAGAUGGAGGAGACAAGCCCCAUAUGACACCACUGGUAGAAGGAGGGGUGCUGGAAAG
rnacentral:lncRNA from 1 species